rnacentral:rRNA from 1 species
UGUACUCCAUGGCCUGUCCUAAACAAGAAAGCCACGGCUAACUACUGGCCACCAGCCCCGUAAAUACGAAGGUGGCGAGCGUUGUCCGAAUUUAUUGGGCGUAAAGAGCAUGUAGGCGUUUGUUUAAGUCGAGCGUGAUCCCCGGGGCUCAACCCCGAACUGCGCUGGAAACUGUUAGGCUUGAGUGCAGGAGAGGAAAGGGGAAUUCCCAGUGUAGCGGUGAAAUGCGUAGAUAUUGGGAGGAACACCAGUGGCGAAGGCGCCCUUCUGGACUGUGACUGACGCUCAGGUGCGAAAGCCUGGGUAGCAAACGGGAUUAGAUACCCCGGUAGUCCUGGCCGUAAACGAUGGGUACUAGGUGUAGGAGGUAUCGACCCCUUCUGUGCCGGAGUUAACGCUUUAAUUACCCCGCCUGGGAAGUACGGCCGCAAGGUUAAAACUCAAG